GCCUGAGUGGCUCAGUCAGUUAAGCAUCUGCCUUCAGCUCAGGUCAUGAUCCCAGGGUCCUGGGAUCAAACCCCACCUCAGGCU
rnacentral:tRNA from 1 species